AUCAGAAAAGACUAGUGAGGACUAACCCUUUAGCAUGCGAGACAGUAGAAGCUGUCUGGCUUGACUUGUGAGUUUGACAGAGGAGUGAGUUAGUUUACCUGGGGACAUUAUGAAACAUGAUGAGACUUGCAGCAGUGAAAUAUAAGCCUCAGCUCUGGCCUCCAAUUAUGGAUGUAGAGGAACUGUGUUUUGGAACUUGAUGCUAACCACAGAACCUGAACACUCUGGGUUUAUGUGCUCUUGGCUAGAGUACAGGACUUCAGCUUCUCAUUAGCAGUUGCAAAGCUUAACGGAAGAAACACAAAUGUGCAGCAAUACAAGUAUGGGUAUGAUACCAUCAUCAGUGAAGGCUCACAUGGCAAGGCUUGCUCUUGCAGUGACCCCAGAAAAGGUAUUACCAUUACAGCUUGCUGGUGAAACUGUCAGCAAAAGAGAAUAAGAAUUAAUUUGUGCCUGAUAUUUGUAGUGCCUGGUCACUGAGAUGCAUGCACAAGUCACACAGAAAGCAGCUUCCAUAGUAGAAGAUAAAGCAUGCUAAUUUCCUAACUCUGAAAAGCCAUGGGUUUUAUUA